rnacentral:rRNA from 1 species
AGUGAACGCUGGCGGUAUGCCUAACACAUGCAAGUCGAACGGCAGCACAGUAAGCUCUCGCUCUUGCGGGUGGCGGGUGGCGGACGGGUGAUGAAUAGAUCGGAGGCUACUUUGUCGGGGAGUACAACGAAGAGAGACUGACGCUAAUACCGCAUACGACCUACCGGAGGAAGCAGGGGAUCUUCGGAGCUUGCGCGUCUGAUUGAGCCGAUGUCGGGUUAGCUAGUUGGCGGGGUAAAGGCCCACCAAGGCGACGAUCCGUAGCUGGUCUGAGAGGAUGAUCAGCCACACGGGAACUGAGACACGGUCCAGACUCCUACGGGAGGACGCAGUGGGGAAUCUUGGACAAUGGGCGAGAGCCUGAUACAGCAAUACCGCGUGAGUGAUGAAGGACUUCGGGUUGUAAAGCUCUGUUGUUGGGAAAGAAGAAAAGCCGGUUCAGCCGGGGCUGUGCUGACGGUACCCAAAGAAUAAGCCCCGGCUAACUUCGUG